rnacentral:lncRNA from 1 species
GAUAUAUAUUUCCAACUGCCCAAGUGGAAUGUCCAUAUUAGAUACGACAAUUUGCUCAGGCCCACUUCGAGCUGGCCAAACCAUUGUACGAUCUAUGACCACGGCUGUACCAACCAUAGUGGUCCUAACAGAUAAUCUAUAGUCAUGAUAUUACUUAGCCACGGGUGACCCCUAACGAUAGUGUGAUACCACUCUCGUUAGAGGGCAUGCCGUCAUCCAUUAGGAGCGGUCCUCUUACGUCUUUACAGAC